CCCUCCCUCUUUCUUCAUGCCUAACACAUGCAAGUCGAACGAGACCUUCGGGUCUAGUGGCGCACGGGUGCGUAACGCGUGGGAACCUGCCCUUAGGUUCGGAAUAACUCCCCGAAAGGGGUGCUAAUACCGGAUAAUGUCUUCGGACCAAAGAUUUAUCGCCUUUGGAUGGGCCCGCGUUGGAUUAGCUAGUUGGUAGGGUAAAAGCCUACCAAGGCGACGAUCCAUAGCUGGUCUGAGAGGAUGAUCAGCCACACUGGGACUGAGACACGGCCCAGACUCCUACGGGAGGCAGCAGUGGGGAAUAUUGGACAAUGGGCGAAAGCCUGAUCCAGCAAUGCCGCGUGAGUGAUGAAGGCCUUAGUGUUGUAAAGCUCUUUUACCCGGGAUGAUAAUGACAGUACCGGGAGAAUAAGCUCCGGCUAACUCCGUG
rnacentral:rRNA from 1 species